CGUGUAGGCGGUUGGUUAAGUCGGAUGUGAAAGCCUGGGGCUCAGCCCCAGAAGUGCAUCCGAAACUAUCCAGCUAGAGCGCGAUAGAGGAGGGUGGAAUUCCUGGUGUAGCGGUGAAAUGCGUAGAUAUCAGGAGGAACACCGGCGGCGAAGGCGGCCCUCUGGAUCGUUGCUGACGCUGAGACGCGAAAGCGUGGGGAGCAAACAGGAUUAGAUACCCUGGUAGUCCACGCCUUAAACGAUGGGUACUAGGUGUUCGGGGUGUUGACCCCCUGAGUGCCGCAGUUAACGCACUAAGUACCCCGCCUGGGGACUACGGCCGCAAGGUUAAA
rnacentral:rRNA from 1 species